GUGGGGAAUCUUGCGCAAUGGGCGAAAGCCUGACGCAGCCAUGCCGCGUGGAUGAUGAAGGUCUUAGGAUUGUAAAAUCCUUUCACCGGUGAAGAUAAUGACUGUAGCCGGAGAAGAAGCCCCGGCUAACUUCGUGCCAGCAGCCGCGGUAAUACGAAGGGGGCUAGCGUUGCUCGGAAUUACUGGGCGUAAAGGGCGCGUAGGCGGACAGCUUAGUCAGAGGUGAAAGCCCAGGGCUCAACCUUGGAAUUGCCUUUGAUACUGGCUGUCUUGAGUUUGGGAGAGGUGAGUGGAACUCCGAGUGUAGAGGUGAAAUUCGUAGAUAUUCGGAAGAACACCAGUGGCGAAGGCGACUCACUGGCCCAAUACUGACGCUGAGGCGCGAAAGCGUGGGGAGCAAACAGGAUUAGAAACCCGAGUAGUCC
rnacentral:rRNA from 1 species